rnacentral:lncRNA from 1 species
UCUAGGAUGACGACUCAAAUGCUGUAGGAGCAACGGCGUGGAUCUUCGGUUUUACGGGAGAUGACUCUAUUGAGAUGGAUUUCUUCACCAUGCUUUGGGUGUUUCAACACUGUCCGAAAAGCACUUGUCCGGCGCACUGCUCGCAAGAAUGUCCAUGAAAAAGCGAAGGAGGAAGAAACACGGUGGAGUUUAGCAACCUUGUGCCAUCGGAUAAAGCAAAGGAGUAGCAUGGAUGAAAUAUGAGUUAAUAAAGUUACUCUUUUCAU